UUUUAAAGAGAGUUUGAUCCUGGCUCAGGACGAACGCUGGCGGCGUGCCUAAUACAUGCAAGUCGAACGAACGGAGGAAGAGCUUGCUCUUCCAAAG
rnacentral:rRNA from 3 species